ACUGUAGCUCCUUUGAGGGUAAGAUAGCCACUGUGCUAUUGUGAUGGCCCCCAUGUCAGGAUAUAGAUCGAUAUGGGGGUCAUGAUUGCUAUAAGGACUGAAGCAGUAGAGACUAUGAUAACAGGAUAGGCAGUAGUAGGAGAGCAUUUGGUAGUGGGUACUGUAGGGAUGAUGACUAUAGAGGAGGCUGGGACUGCUAUGAAGACAGGUAUGACACAUGAGAUGAUGGGUCAUGGAGCUCCAGAGAUGUUUACUCUUGGGAUAAUCAUAAGCAUGAUGGUAGAGUUUCCCUACCCCACCCCCAAGACCCAAAGUGAAUCUAAAUCCUCGAAGUACUCCUAACGAAGAAGAUUCCUCUGCUAGCAGAGGUUCUGGUUCAUUGAGCAGCCUCUGUCUUUGGAGGGUCAAAGCUUGUUAACACAGCGGCUAGAGACCAAGAAGUAGAAUAGCAGCUACGGAAGGAAUGGGAGAAACUGCGACACCAGCUGCAUGAGCCAAAACUAGAACAACAGCCUCAGGAGAGACACGCAAGCUGGCGAAGCGAAGAAACUCACGAACAGAACAGUCCAGGACAGGAAUUGAGUCAUCACAGACUGGGACCUCAGCCCCAUCUGGCAGAAAUGCACGAAGGAGAGUGAAAGUUUCUAGAAAAGAGAUCGGAAGAGUGU